rnacentral:rRNA from 1 species
GGGUGGUAAUGCCGGAUGCUCCGACAUGACGCAUGUCGUGUCGGGAAAGAUUCAUCGGUAUGGGAUGGGGUCGCGUCCUAUCAGCUUGAUGGCGGGGUAACGGCCCACCAUGGCUUCGACGGGUAGCCGGCCUGAGAGGGCGACCGGCCACAUUGGGACUGAGAUACGGCCCAGACUCCUACGGGAGGCAGCAGUGGGGAAUAUUGCACAAUGGGCGCAAGCCUGAUGCAGCGACGCCGCGUGCGGGAUGACGGCCUUCGGGUUGUAAACCGCUUUUGACUGGGAGCAAGCCCUUCGGGGUGAGUGUACCUUUCGAAUAAGCACCGGCUAACUACGUGCCAGCAGCCGCGGUAAUACGUAGGGUGCAAGCGUUAUCCGGAAUUAUUGGGCGUAAAGGGCUCGUAGGCGGUUCGUCGCGUCCGGUGUGAAAGUCCAUCGCUUAACGGUGGAUCCGCGCCGGGUACGGGCGGGCUUGAGUGCGGUAGGGGAGACUGGAAUUCCCGGUGUAACGGUGGAAUGUGUAGAUAUC